UCACUCCAACCCAAUGUGAACCAUACCAAACUGUUGCCUCGGCGGGGUCACGCCCCGGGUGCGUCGCAGCCCCGGAACCAGGCGCCCGCCGGAGGGACCAACCAAACUCUUUACUGUAGUCCCCUCGCGGACGUUAUUUCUUACAGCUCUGAGCAAAAAUUCAAAAUGAAUCAAAACUUUCAACAACGGAUCUCUUGGUUCUGGCAUCGAUGAAGAACGCAGCGAAAUGCGAUAAGUAAUGUGAAUUGCAGAAUUCAGUGAAUCAUCGAAUCUUUGAACGCACAUUGCGCCCGCCAGUAUUCUGGCGGGCAUGCCUGUCCGAGCGUCAUUUCAACCCUCGAACCCCUCCGGGGGGUCGGCGUUGGGGAUCGGGAACCCCUCAGACGGGAUCCCGGCCCCGAAAUACAGUGGCGGUCUCGCCGCAGCCUCUCCUGCGCAGUAGUUUGCACAACUCGCACCGGGAGCGCGGCGCGUCCACGUCCGUAAAACACCCAACUUCUGAAAUGUUGACCUCGGAUCAGGUAGGAAUACCCGCUGAACUUAAGCAUAUCA
rnacentral:rRNA from 1 species